UUAUUGGAGAGGGGCUUGAAGAGAAGGGGGCUAAAUAUAGAAAUUACAGUACCUCCAUUCCUUCCUCUCCCUUCCCAAACAUGCUGCAGGAGAGGUUGAUGUAUAAUUUGCAUGUUAUGUACCUGGUAAUAUGGAGAAAUGAGCUAGUAAAUAUAUUCUUGCCCAUAAUUAGUUGCUGAUUAAAUGUUCAAAGAUACACAUUAAGCAUGAAGAACAAAUGGAAGAUACCCACAGCCAACACAUUUUCAACAAAUAUAUAUGGAUUUGUUCACUUCAUUUCUUACUUUCGACACAAGUAAUUAGAGUAAUU